ACGAACGCUGGCGGCGUGCUUAACACAUGCAAGUCAAGGGGACCCGCAAGGGUAACCGGCGAACGGGUGCGUAACACGUGAGCAACCUACCGAGAUCUGGGGGAUAGCCGGCCCAACGGCCGGGUAAUACCGCAUACGCUCUUUCCACGGCAUUGUGGAUUGAGGAAACCUCCGGGGGAUUUCGAGGGGCUCGCGGCCUAUCAGCUAGUUGGCGAGGUCACGGCUCACCAAGGCGACGACGGGAGCUGGUCUGAGAGGAUGGCCAGCCACAUUGGGACUGAGAAACGGCCCAGACUCCUACGGGAGGCAGCAGUGGGGAAUCUUGCGCAAUGGCCGAAAGGCUGACGCAGCGACGCCGCGUGUGGGAGGAAGCCUUUC
rnacentral:rRNA from 1 species